GAUAGACUCUCUGGGAAUAAGAAUAGGGAUUACAACUACCUUUUUACUGGGCAGAAAACCACAAAAGGAAGAAUAUUUGUCACCGGUUAAAGUGAACAUAUCAAGGAUAAACUAUCUGGGGAAACAUGAAAAUGAAUCUGCUAGGGAAAGUAAAGGAAGUAGAUUACAUUUUACCGGGUAUUGGGAAAAAGUAAAGUACUCAAGAAUCGAGAAAUAUAUUACCAAUUACUGAG
rnacentral:lncRNA from 1 species